GAUUCUGAGCUUGCCCCUGGGUCCAUGGGAAUGGCACCAUCAUGGGGCGGCGAUGUCCCUGGAUGGCAGCUGGGGAGUGUGGCACAUGGGCCAUAUGUGCAGGCUCGGGCUCGACCGAAGGCUUCAUAUCAGCCUGCUGGGGAGAUGGCCCCACAGGUGCUCCUUCCCCACCUCGCACCCCAUGUCACCUGCCUUCCUCUUUGAGAUGAUAGAUAAUGCCAUCACGCCCUGCAUCCUGGUCCGGGCAGCCGUGAGCAUCCUGCUCCACAGACAACAAAGCCAGGAAUCGCAGCCGCUGGUGAUUCCAUCCAGGGCCAGACGGGGAGCCCCCGUUCCCCUCCCCCGACUCUGGCACCCACGGGCCUCGCGCCUCUGCAGUCCUCCUGGUCCCCUGCUUCUCCUCCCUCAAGAUGCUUCUCCUGCAUCACCCCCACCCCUGCCCCACAGAGACUCCCCAGCCCCCCACGAAGCUAAUCCCACCCAGAUCUGAGGAAGCCAGAUUGUCAACCAACUACCUCAUGCUCUGCUUGGGCUCCAUCUCAUGUGUCAGGGGGGCGCCCUGCUGUCCAGGAGGAGGGUCCUCUCUCCUGCUGUGUGAGGCCUCGGGUCGUCGGGAGGGCACCCAGCCUCUCAGAGCUUGCAGCCGGCUUCGCCCCGGCUCUCAGCGGACAGCAGCCGCUCCCACGGGCCAGCACAGGGUCAGACAGAAGACAAGACGCAGAAUUUCCUGUUCAGAGCAAGAACGUGUUCAUCCUGCCUUUCUAGCCCCUGCUGUCUGGGUGGAUGGGAGGUGGGGGUCCCUGGGGAAGCCAUUCUGACCUGAAGUAGUUUGAGAGCCCUCUACCUCCUGGGAGGGUCCGGAAGCCCCCCCUCUUCUCCCCGGAGCCUCGCCUGGUGCCGGAUUCACACCCCGCUGGACCCUGUUGAGGUGAUGCUCCUGCUGUCCUCAGUCUGAGCGACUCCCAACCACGCCCAGGCCCCAUCUCCGACACAGCCAUCCUCUCCAGCCACAGCCCACACCUUUCCAGACUGGACCCCGUCCCCAGCCCUUCCCUGGACCUGCACACACGAGACUCCAUGUGAGCCCGAUGGCCCUUGGGCUAGGUCUGAGCAGGAGAGGGCAGCCGUCUCAGGCCCAUUGCCUGUUCUCAGCUUCCUCCUCCCAGCCAUCACUCCUUCCCCCUCCAUCCUGGCAAGGGGCUCAGGACCAGACCCUCCCUCCCCGUGGCAGUGUCAGCACCCAGCCUGGCAAGGACGGGAGAGUGCUCUCGGUUCCCUGGGCCAUCUGCCUGGGGCGCAGUAGAGCCCCCACACUUUGCCCAUGGGAAUCUCUGUCCAGAAUCCCACCAAGGAACCCCCACCCACAGAACCCCAUGGUGGAAGCGUGGGACCCACUGAGGAACACCACCCGUGGACUGCCCCCCGGCAGAACCCCCACCCAAAGACGCCCCAGGAACAUCUCCAGGGGAACCCCACCCACAGAAGCCCACUGAGAACAGGCUGCAGAGUCUCGCCGAGGCGCUCGUGGCCCCCGCCAGGACCCCACUGGCUGCGGAUGCAAGGCCGGGAUGACUGGUGAUCUAGCAGCGCCCCCACCACUCUCUCCCCGGUGGCCUCAGGCACCUUCCCCGAGCAGCUGCCCGAAGCCCAGGUCCCCUGCAUGUGGGUCACCUCAGCCCCAGCCAUGAGCGGGGUCCUAGGCAUGCUCAGCUCCUUGGAGAGGACGUCUCACUCGCCCUGGGGGCGGGGCAUCCCCCACCUGCCCUCAGCCCCCUCCCUGCCUGGUCCCUCGCCUGAGGGGAGAGGCUCCAGUGUCAGCGAAGCCCCCUCCCUGCCCCCAGCACGGCCCUGGGGAGGGCCUGGGCCCAGAGCCACUCAGGCGCCCAGACUCCACCACUCUUCUGAGCCACAAGCAAGCCGAAGCGGGCAGGCGGUGGCUCUCACCAAGGGUGCAGCAGACACCUAUUGAGCGCUUGCUGUAUACAGAGCAUCUCGUAUUCAGCACCGCACAGCAUCUUCACAACAAGCCAGAGACCCGGGUCUGGUUUUAGUCCCGAGGCGGCAGCAUGGGGGCUGAGGCCAGUGGGCAGGGCCACACGCCAACUCCUGACAAGGACUGAGG
ensembl:lncRNA